rnacentral:rRNA from 1 species
AUACGUAGGGUGCAAGCGUUAAUCGGAAUUACUGGGCGUAAAGCGUGCGCAGGCGGUUUUGUAAGGCAGAGGUGAAAUCCCCGGGCUCAACCCGGGAACUGCCUUUGUUACUGCAAGGCUAGAGUACAGCAGAGGGGGAUGGAAUUUCGCGGGUAGCAGUGAAAUGCGUAGAUAUGCGGAGGAACACCGAUGGCGAAAGCAAUCACCGGGGCCUGUACUGACGCGCAUGCACGAAAGCGUGGGGAGCAAACAGGAUUAGAUACCCUGGUAGUCCACGCCCUAAACGAUGUCAACUGGUUGUUGGGUCUUCAUUGACUCAGUAACGAAGCUAACGCGUGAAGUUGACCGCCUGGGGAGUACGGCCGCAAGGUUGAAACUCAAAUGAAUUGACGGG